GGACUACAAGUUCCAGCAUGCCGUGCGGGGGCGAGGCCGUACCAUAUGCUGGGAGGAGGUCUGUGUUUUCUCCGGGUAAAAGCAUCGAGGUGCAGGGAAGCCGUGGUCGCCAGCAUGGCCAGAAGGGCCUUGAAACUUGUCUCUCUGGCAGCAGCCAGCUCUGGUUUCUACCUGUACAGCAGCAAGUACCUGGAUCCCAAUGAUUUUGGAGCUGUUCGGGUGGGCAGAGCCGUUGCCACAACAGCUGUUAUCACCUAUGACUACCUCACUUCUCUCCGGAGUGUCCCGUAUGGAUCACAGGAGUAUGCCUACCUCAAAUCACAGGUGCAUCUGCGCUCUGCGGAACGUCUCCGGGACCUGUGCUGUGCCAACAGAGGCACCUUCAUCAAAGUGGGGCAGCAUUUGGGGGCACUCGACUACCUUCUGCCUGAGGAAUACACUCGCACCCUGAAGGUACUACACAGCCAGGCCCCACAGAGCAGCAUGCAGGAGAUUGAACAAGUGAUCCGUGAGGACCUGGGCAAAGAGAUCAAAGAGCUCUUUGUGAGUUUUGAAGACACUCCCCUGGGAGCAGCAUCCCUGGCCCAGGUCCACAAGGCGGUGCUGCAGGAUGGGAGGACAGUGGCAGUGAAAGUCCAGCACCCGAAGGUUCAGGCUCAAAGCUCCAGGGACAUUUUGUUGAUGGAGAUUCUCCUGCUGACCGUGAAGCAGAUCUUCCCAGACUUUGAGUUCAUGUGGCUGGUGGAUGAAGCUAAGAAGAAUUUGCCCCUGGAGUUGGACUUCCUCAAUGAGGGGAGAAAUGCAGAAAAGGUGUCCCACAUGCUUAAGGACUUUGACUUUCUGAAGGUCCCUAGGAUCUACUGGGAGCUGUCAACUAGGCGUGUCCUUCUCAUGGAAUUUGUGGAAGGCGGGCAGGUGAAUGACAGGGCCUAUAUGGAGAGGAACAGCAUUGACGUCAAUGAGAUCUCUCGCAAUCUGGGGAAGCUGUACAGUGAAAUGAUCUUUGUGAAUGGUUUCGUACACUGUGACCCGCACCCGGGCAACGUGCUCGUGAGGAAGUGCCCAGCCACCGGCAAGGCCCACAUUAUACUGCUGGACCAUGGGCUCUAUCAGGUCCUGACAGAGAAGUUUCGCUUGGACUAUUGCCGGCUCUGGCAGUCCCUGAUCAAGGCUGAUAUGAAGAGGGUGCAGAAAUACAGCCGACGGCUAGGAGCAGGUGACCUGUACCCACUCUUCGCAUGCAUGCUCACCGCCAGGUCCUGGGACUCUGUCAACAGGGGCAUCGACCGGUCACCGGUCACAGCCAAUGAGGUACAGCCUGUUUGCGCUCCUGUGGUGUCUUUCUCCAUUACAAUCACCUAGUUAAUUGACAUCAAUAUUAAUGGCUGCCCUUGCAGGCCUAUUGAGAGGCUGCAUUGAGAGCUGGACUAAAGGUGCCUGAAAUCCCUUUGCUAUGCACUUUUAACGGCUGAAUUUAGUCUCCUUGUCUCUCACACGCACUCAUCACAGGUCAGUUAAAUUUCCCAUAAGAUUUGGUUGGGUAAAUAAAUUAGCAGCUUUGGUAGAGGAAACCUUUGUAAAUUAGCCCUUCUCUGAAAAUUUUCCUGAGUGCAGCUGUGCAGGGAGCAGACUGAGCUGGGUAAGGGGCAGAGGAGACAUCGAAGCUCAGUGGGGGAGGAUAAUACAUAUUAGUGUUAAUUGCUAGUCAUGUGAAUGACCGUCAGCACUGAUGCAUACUCAUCAAAAAUCCUUGGAAACGACAGAGGUUGUUUGGUACAGGAGGUAAGUCAAGGCUGCUUAAGUGCAAAUCCCAUCAACCCAAUCAUGAAAAAUCUAGAAAAUCGCCAGUUAAAUUCUUCCUCUUCCUUCUGUCCAUGUGUCACGAGUCCUUCUAUACUCAUGUACAUCUAUCUACCACUCACAGCACCCACCUUCAUCGCACUAAUGAACAAAUGGGCAACCAUGUUGUUUGUAGAGGUAAGCAGGCAGGGGUAUGGCAGUAACAGUGGGCCAGUGUUUGUGGGGGGAAGCAUGUUGUCUCACAUGGCUUAUUUUAAUGUGGGUGUAAGAAGCUUGUGUUAUUGUAGUGGCAAAGUGUAGGGGGAGGGCAGAGGUAGAGGACAGAAUGAGUUGGCUUUGUAUUGCUUGGUAACUGGUGCCUGUGCAGAUGUAAUAUGCGGGUAAGAAUUCAUAAAGAAGGGUUAAAAUUGGCUGUUGUGAAAUUUUGCGGUGGAAAUUCCUCACUCUUUGUGGGUUGGUGCUUGAUUUUUGUGGCCAGAGUUAAGGUUUGCUCUGGUGAGUCACAAAUACCAUAGAGCUCCCCUCUGGCAUCGGCAGGUGAGUUUACAUUUAAGGGGAAGGCAGCUCCUUUCUUUUGGUUUUGGGGUGAAACUGAGAGGUUAAUAGCAGCAGCGAGAGCCAAACAUUAUGGAGGUAGGUACCAUGUAACACACAGCUCUGAUGAUGCUUCUAAAUCCUGUCUUGCAGUACCCUCUGCUUCUCCAGAUCUGCUGGCACACCGGAGGCCUUAUCUUGUGCACCAUCUGCUAUUCCAGACUUUGUCCUUGUCAGAAAACACCAGCUACAAUGACAUACUAUGGUUGUUUUGUGAUGGGGACAAAUACUCUUACUUAGCACUAGACUGAGAUGUAUCAGACUUAUUUAAUUGUGAUCUGUGUGGGAUCCACAUCCAAGGGGACUGGUAAUGUAGUAAGCAUGCUGGGGGAAGGGGGAAUGAAUAGUACUUAUCCUGUGAAAUGUGUAUGCCCAUUCCCAUACCGGCUUUUUCCACUGAGCAGGGGUGCUCAACCCCUGCUCAGCCCCAGGCCCUGCCACACUCCACUCCUUCCCCCAAGGCCCCACCCCAGCCCUGCCUCUUCCCACCCCUGCUCUGCCCCGCCCCUUCUCUUCCUACCCAGUUCGACCUCCUCCCCUGGGCACGCCCUGUCCCCGCUCCUUCCCCUCCCCCCAGCUCCUCCUGCACGCUACGGAAUAGCUGAUCGCAGCGGGUGGGAGAUGCUGGCAGGGAGGGGGAGGAGUUGAUCGGAGAGCCACCGGAAGGUGGGAGGUGCUGGGGGAGAAGUGAGCAGCUGGCUGCAGGUGAGUGCUAAGCACCCACUAAUUUUUUUCCAUGGGCGCUACAGUCCUGGUGCCUAUACCCACCAUUCCACCAAAUCAAAUGUGGGACUUGCUCACCACCAUGCCCCAAAACACCCAUGUUUCUAUCCAGGCUCUGAAGGGCUGACAUUACCCCAUUUCGAGGUUCAAGAUUCUGCUUGCCAUUUUAACUUGUUGCUAGGAAACCCAGUGAAUAUCCCGGCCCAUGCUCAAAUCCCCAGAUUUUCCUAGAAGCAGAAGUUAAAAAUACAACUGUAAUAAUCUCAAACACACAAUUUUGUGAUCUUUGAAUUUCUGCUCUCUCUGGAACUGCCAUCUCAUGAGGUGUUGAGUCCUACAGACUGUCAACUGGCAUAAGCACAUGCCCUUAUUGAAUAUGUUUCAAAUUAUCCAGUAACAUUAAGCCUAAAAGGAAGGGUUUUUUGCAGGAUAGUUAACCUGUGGAACUACUUGCUACAUGAUAUAAACUAGGCAAAUAUAACUUAGAUGGGGAUGCUAUAAGGUGGGUGCAUAACUGGCUGGAUAACCCUACUCAGAGAGUAGCUAUUAAUGAUUCCCAAUCCUACUGGAAAGGUAUGACAAGUGGGGUUCUGCAGGCAUCUGUUUUGGGACCGGCUCUGUUCAAUAUCUUCAUCAAUGACUUAGAUAUUGGCAUAGAAAGUACGCUUAUUAAGUUUGCAGAUGAUACCAAACUGGGAGGGAUUGCAACUGCUUUGGAAGAUAGGGUCAUAAUUCAAAAUGAUCUGGACAAACUGGAGAAAUGGUGUGAGGUAAACAGGAUGCAGUUUAAUAAAGACAAAUGCAAAGUGCUCCACUUAGGAAGGAACAAUCAGUUUCACACAUACAGAAUGGGAAGAGACUGUCUAGGAAGGAGUACGGCAGAAAGGGAUCUAGGGCAGUGGUCCCCAACCUUUUUUGUCUGGCAGAUGCCAGACGAAGGACCGUGGUGGCGGUCGAGCAUCCACCGAAAUGCCGCCGAUUUUCAGCGGCAUUUCAGUGGAUGCUUGACUGCCAGCCAGGAUGCGGGCGCAUUUAUAUGCCCCCAUGGGUGCCAUAGCACCCGCAGGUACAUUAGGGACCCCUGAUCUAGGGGUUAUAGUGGACCACAAGCGAAAUAUGAGUCAACAGUGUGAUGCUGUUGCAUAAAAAGCAAAUAUGAUUCUGAGAUGCAUUGCCAGGUGUGUUGUGAGCAAGACAUGAGAAGUCAUUCUUCCGCUCUACUCUGCACUGGUUAGGCCUCAGCUGGAGUAUUGUGUCCAGUUCUGGGCACUGCUUUUGAAGAAAGAUGUGGAGAAAUUGGAGAGGGUCCAGAGAAGAGCAACAAGAAUGAUUAAAGGUCUAGAGAACAUGAUCUGUGAAGGAAGGCUGAAAGAAUUGGGUUUGUUUAGUUUGGAAAAGAGAAGACUGAGAGAGGACAUGAUCGCAGUUUUCAGGUAUCUAAAAGGAUGUCAUAAGGAGGAGGGAGAAAACUUGUUCACCUUAGCCUCUAAGGAUAGAACAAGAAGCAAUGGGCUUAAACUGCAGCAAGGGAGGUCUAGGCUGGACAUUAGGAAAAAGUUCCUAACUGUCAGAGUGGUUAAACACUAGAAUAAACUGCCUAGCGAGGUUGUGGAAUCUCCAUCUCUGGAAAUAUUUAAGAGUAGGUUAAAUAAAUGUCUAUCGGGGAUGGUCUAGACAUAUUUGGUCCUGCCAUGAGGGCAGGGGACUGGACUCGAUGACCUCUC